CCCGGUAAAUAGCUUUAGGGGCUAGCGUCGAUGUUAAGUCUCUUGGAGGUAGAGCGACNGUUUUGGGUGAGGGGUCCGAUCCCCGGGAUUUACCCAAAUCUCAGAUAAACUCCGAAAUGCCAAUGAGAUAUAAUCGGCAGUCAGACUGCGAGUGCUAAGAUCCGUAGUCGAAAGGGAAACAGCCCAGACCACCAGCUAAGGUCCCAAAAUAUAUGUUAAGUGGAAAAGGAUGUGGGGUUGCACAGACAACUAGGAUGUUAGCUUAGAAGCAGCUAUUCAUUCAAAGAGUGCGUAAUAGCUCACUAGUCGAGUGACCCUGCGCCGAAAAUAUACCGGGGCUAAGCAUAAUACCGAAACUGUGGGUGCACCCGUCAGGGUGCGCGGUAGGAGAGCGUUCUAAGGGCGUUGAAGGUCGAUCGUGAGGACGGCUGGAGCGCUUAGAAGUGAGAAUGCCGGCAUGAGUAGCGAAAGAUCAGUGAGAAUCUGAUCCACCGUAUGACUAAGGUUUCCUGGGGAAGGCUCGUCCUCCCAGGGUUAGUCG
rnacentral:rRNA from 1 species